rnacentral:rRNA from 1 species
GACGAACGCUGGCGGCGUGCUUAACACAUGCAAGUCGAGCGAUGAAGUUUCUUCGGAAAUGGAUUAGCGGCGAACGGGUGAGGAACACGUGAAGAAUCUGCCCUCCACUUUGGGAUAACACAGGGAAACCUGUGCUAAUACCGAAUAUUGAAACAUAAGUGGCAUCACUGAGUUUUGAAAGAACUUCGGUGGAGGAUGACUUCGCGGCCUAUCAGCUAGUUGGUGAGGUAAUGGCUCACCAAGGCAACGACGGGUAGCCGGCCUGAGAGGGCGACCGGCCACACUGGGACGGAGACACGGCCCAGACUCCUACGGGAGGCAGCAGUGGGGAAUAUGGGGCAAUGGAGGAAACUCUGACCCAGCGACGCCGCGUGCGGGAUGAAGGCCUUCGGGUUGUAAACCGCUUUCAGUAGGGAAGAAGCGAAAGUGACGGUACCUACAAAAGAAGCACCGGCUAACUAUGUGCCAGCCGCCGCUGUAA